UACGUAGGGGGCAAGCGUUGUCCGGAAUCAUUGGGCGUAAAGCGCGCGUAGGCGGCCCUGUAAGUCCGCUGUAAAAGUCAAAGGCUCAACCUUUGAAAGCCGGUGGAUACUGCAGGGCUAGAGUCCGGAAGAGGCGAGUGGAAUUCCUGGUGUAGCGGUGGAAUGCGCAGAUACCAGGAGGAACACCAAUAGCGAAGGCAGCUCGCUGGGACGGUACUGACGCUAAGGCGCGAAAGCGUGGGGAGCGAACAGG
rnacentral:rRNA from 1 species